UACGGAGGGUGCAAGCGUUAUCCGGAUUCACUGGGUUUAAAGGGUGCGUAGGCGGGUUGGUAAGUCCGUGGUGAAAUCUCCGAGCUUAACUCGGAAACUGCCGUGGAUACUAUCAGUCUUGAAUAUCGUUGAGGUAAGCGGAACAUGUCAUGUAGCGGUGAAAUGCUUAGAUAUGACAUAGAACACCAAUUGCGAAGGCAGCUUACUGAACGAUCAUUGACGCUGAGGCACGAAAGCGUGGGGAGCAAACAGG
rnacentral:rRNA from 1 species